rnacentral:rRNA from 1 species
ACGCUGGCGGCAGGCUUAACACAUGCAAGUCGAACGGUAACAGGAGAAAGCUUGCUUUCUUGCUGACGAGUGGCGGACGGGUGAGUAAUGCUUGGGAAUCUGGCUUAUGGAGGGGGAUAACGACGGGAAACUGUCGCUAAUACCGCGUAGAGUCGAGAGACGAAAGUGCGGGACCGCAAGGCCGCAUGCCAUAGGAUGAGCCCAAGUGGGAUUAGGUAGUUGGUGGGGUAAUAGCCUACCAAGCCGACGAUCUCUAGCUGGUCUGAGAGGAUGACCAGCCACACCAGGACUGAGACACGGCCCGGACUCCUACGGGAGGCAGCAGUGGGGAAUAUUGCGCAAUGGGGGCAACCCUGACGCAGCCAUGCCGCGUGAAUGAAGAAGGCCUUCGGGUUGUAAAGUUCUUUCGGUAUUGAGGAAGGUUGUUGUGUUAAUAGCACGACAAAUUGACGUUAAAUACAGAAGAAGCACCGGCUAACUCCGUGCCAGCAGCCGCGGUAAUACGGAGGGUGCGAGCGUUAAUCGGAAUAACUGGGCGUAAAGGGCACGCAGGCGGACUUUUAAGUGAGGUGUGAAAUCCCCGGGCUUAACCUGGGAAUUGCAUUUCAGACUGGGAGUCUAGAGUACUUUAGGGAGGGGUAGAAUUCCACGUGUAGCGGUGAAAUGCGUAGAGAUGUGGAGGAAUACCGAAGGCGAAGGCAGCCCCUUGGGAAUGUACUGACGCUCAUGUGCGAAAGCGUGGGGAGCAAACAGGAUUAGAUACCCUGGUAGUCCACGCUGUAAACGCUGUCGAUUUGGGGAUUGGGCUUUAAGCUUGGUGCCCGAAGCUAACGUGAUAAAUCGACCGCCUGGGGAGUACGGCCGCAAGGUUAAAACUCAAAUGAAUUGACGGGGGCCCGCACAAGCGGUGGAGCAU